GUUUAUAAUUAAGGAAGAAUAUAAAUUUUUAUUAGAGAGCAACGAUAACAUUGCAUCUGUGUUAGAGAAAGUGCUCGCGAAUCUACAGCAUGUCCCGCUCCGUGAUUUGUGCAUAUGUCAGAGAAAUUACAUAGCAACGAUGUUGAAAGAUAUUUCACAUUAAUAUUAUUCCAGUAGCACACAUUUAACAUUUCUUGAUUAUUUAAGUUUUCAUAAGCUAUUAUUAGCCUUUUUUUAUAAUAUAUCAAAUAAUAUGUUAAAUUGAACUAAGAUUAUUUAAAAUAAAAGGUUUAUAGACUUAUGUAUGCAAGGUUUCGAAUUUUCAAAUUUAAAAAUUGCUUAACUUUCAAAUGUUCAAAGUUCUAAGCCUUAUUACUUCUAAAUUUACAUUGUUUAAGAUUACAGAAAGAAAACACGCCUCUCCAACGAAAGUUUCUCAAGUAUACCACGUAGCUUCUUAACUUUUUCUGGCAAUAAUCGCGCAAACCUUACAUGGCCCUGGAACAGACUCAUUUCCUUAUAGCUGAAACAAUAUAUUCUGUUACAUCGACAUCUUACAGAAUGUUACAAAACGCCGAAGCAUUCAAGCAUAAAAGAAAUGCUGCAUUCUCCAUAAUUAAUAGCGACAGCGAGGCGCACGAAAACAUUCUUAAAUUAUCGCUAGAACGGAUAGGAAACUAUAGUAGCUGUCUUUUUGCGAGCAACGAGAUUUCACCACAGGCGCGUUACCGAUAAACCAAUGCAACUUCUGGCUACGAGCACUAGGAGAGAAGCGUAAAUGGGACAAGCUCAACGGUCACACAACCGUGACUUUCUAGCUAUGUUGCGUCGUUGAGGCUUUUUGUCGUGUAUCCAGUCGCUGUUUGUGCUUCCGCCUACACCGUUGCUUGAAAUGUGUUUUCUAGGGGAAAUUGAAAAACUUGUAUAUAUAAUUUUGGAGCGGUUGUUGUCAUUCAAAUUAGUUGAUACUUCUAAGAAUUCUAUAUUCAUAAAUUUGGUUUGAACAUAGAAAAUUUUUAUUAUUACAAAUGCUAUAUUUAUAUUUGUAGGUUUGUAUGGAAUUAAAUUUUAGAUAUAUAAUGUGACGACUAUGUAAAUGUUCUAAAUUGUAUCUGAAUUAUUAUAUGGAUAUUUUAAAUUGUGUAAAUUUAUGCAAAAGUGUUAACUAAUUUAAAUUUUUAAAUUAGUAGAUCCCAAAAUAAAAUAUUAUUCUUGCAGUUAACGGAAGAAUCGAUUCAAGAUGGUUCACGCUGACUGUCUCGUUCCACUAACUCACAAUCAAUUUGAUUGGAUUUCUUCAAUUGAAGUCACUUAACGCUUAAGAGAUCAUGUAAUUGACUGGAAUACAUCGUUUAAGCUUAGUUUACAUCCAAACGGUAGAUCAAGUUAAAUCGAACCACGGAAAGAAAUCAGGGAAAAGUGGACGAGAGGAAGACUCAUCGAGGUCGCUGAUCGAGGUCAAGUUUUAGACUACUGUAAUGUCUAAUCGUGAUGCAUGUGGAUGCUGGUGUCGUUGCCUUGCAAAUAUCAUAUCCUGGAGAAGGGGAAAUUCCAUGGAGAAGUUAGAAUAUCGGAAUCUCGGGCUCUUCUUUGACUCUUUGAAUUUUUCAAUCUUUCAAAUUUCCAAAUUUUCGAAUUUUCAAAAUUUCAAAUUUCUGAAUUCUUAAACUUUCAAAUUUUCAAUUUCUCAAUUUUUAACUUUUCGAAUUUUUUAAUUUCUAAAAUUAAAAAUCAUUAGCUCAUCAAAUAAAAUAUGCAUUACCCUAUUCGUUAACAUUAAGUUCCCAUAGUCUCCAAAACUUCUAAAACAUUCAUCUUCAACAAAAAUUUCUAAAACUCAGUAUUUUUAAUGUGACCUAACAUUAAUGUGUGAUCGGUGUGUAUGAUAAUAACGAUUAUGCAAACUUUACAUGUUCCUGCAUUGCGAAGUCAUAUUUUAUACUACUGUAAAGUCUAGUACCGUUGUCUUCUUAUAGCAGUCAGUUUCUGGGGAAGUGGGAAUUCCAGAGAGAAGUCGAGAGAUUGGAAUCUCGGGCUCUCUUCUGACGUCUGUUUAGCAGUACCACUCACUCUCUCUUCUUUUUUCUUUUCCUUCUCUUGGCUAUGCUGGUAUACAUAUAUUUAAUGUCUUAUCUGAGCUUAAAGGCAAGUUGUUCGAUUCAGUAACCUGUCUGCAACAACAUUCUAGAUUACCACUGGGAACUCCCCUGAUCUAAUUUCGUUUAGGCUUAUGAACAACUUAUUGAGACUUACGGAAAUGUAGAAAGGUAUUUUAAUGGGAUAUGGGCAUCUUGAAUGAUGGAUUGAGUUUUUAUAUUGCCUGAACGGAAUUGAAAUUAUGUGAAGGAGAGUUAUUAAUCCAUAUAUUAAUUAAACAAUUUAAAAAAAUGAAUAAAAUUGUUACAAAGAGAAUAAUGUCUUUUUGACAAAAUUGGUAAAUUUUGAUUUAUAUAUCGAAGAGAUUUGAAUUUUAUUUGAUUUGGCUUAAUGAAUUUUGUGGAUUAAAAGAAUUCUUCUUUAUUUGUAUAAUGUCGAAUUUUAUUAUUUGUUAAUAUAAUCAAUUACUUACAUUCUCUAUCGUUGAAAAGAGAAUUACUAUAAUUCAAUCGCAAUCAGUAAACUAAUACGUAAAUUUUCAUUGUUUGAU